rnacentral:rRNA from 1 species
GAUGAACGCUGGCGGCGUGCCUAAUACAUGCAAGUCGAGCGAACAGACGAGGAGCUUGCUCCUCUGACGUUAGCGGCGGACGGGUGAGUAACACGUGGAUAACCUACCUAUAAGACUGGGAUAACUUCGGGAAACCGGAUCUAAUACCGGAUAAUAUAUUGAACCGCAUGGUUCAAUAGUGAAAGACGGUUUUGCUGUCACUUAUAGAUGGAUCCGCGCCGCAUUAGCUAGUUGGUAAGGUAACGGCUUACCAAGGCAACGAUGCGUAGCCGACCUGAGAGGGUGAUCGGCCACACUGGAACUGAGACACGGUCCAGACUCCUACGGGAGGCAGCAGUAGGGAAUCUUCCGCAAGGGGCGAAAGCCUGACGGAGCAACGCCGCGUGAGUGAUGAAGGUCUUCGGAUCGUAAAACUCUGUUAUUAGGGAAGAACAAAUGUGUAAGUAACUAUGCACGUCUUGACGGUACCUAAUCAGAAAGCCACGGCUAACUACGUG